rnacentral:lncRNA from 1 species
AAAUGUGACUGGUUAUAUUGAUGUAUUUUAUAAGGGCAUUUUGUUAUGUGUCAUAUGAGGUAUAUAUAGUUAUUUGCUCAAUUGAGGAUUUAUUUUAUAUGAGAUGAAAAUCAAAGAAAUGAUUUGAUUAACAUAUCAAUAUCUUUGUAACAUGGACUUAUGUAUUUUGUAUGAAAUGAUCGGAAAAUAUGGACUGAAUGUAACCUAUAGAAACAUUAUAUUGUGAAAACUAACGGUUACUGUUUUAAAACUUGUAUUUAUAAUUUAGUCAUGCUUCUAUAUGAUAAGUUUUUGUGGUUUCUACUUGUCUGUUGUGCCAUUGUGAUGUUUAUAUUUAUGUUCUAGUAAUUUAUUUAUUUUAUUUAGUUUCUUUAUUUAACGUAGGUAUUGUUAAGUAUCUUAUCAGUUUAAUUGGUUUGUUAUUUAUAUCAAGUAUAUUGUAAUAGUUCAGUGCUCCUUAAUUUCUGAUGAUUGAUAAGCUUUAAAAGGAAGUUUAUCAACAUGAUCAGAUUAAUGUUUUCUCAAGAUUUGAAGUGAUUCCUGGUUUUAUAAUUUGUAAAAACAGGAGUGAUAUUUUCUAUCAACCAACAGCAUUGACAAAUUACUAAUAAGAACAACAGCAUUAAACACCAUUCAUGCCUCUUAUUUUGUCCAAGGGACAUCAGCUGCUGCAGUUAUUGAAUGCAUUACAAUAUCUUACAUGUACCAAAGUAGUAAAACUUUAAAAAGAUUUUUCCCUAAUAAAGGAAAAGAUAACUCAUUUCUUAUUACUUCUAACAUGUCUAAUGGGUAUUUUUUUCCUAUAACAAAUGACCAAAUUUACUCAUGACAGAAUUAUAAAGAACAAAUUUCAAUACUCAUAACUCCUGUUCAGAAUAGAUUUCUUUACUAUAGUUUUAUUUGUUGAUUGAUAUAUAUACACGUGUCCCUAUAUCUAUUGGUAAUCUAAGAAUUUAGCAUUACACAUCAUAUUCUAUAAAUGUAUUACCUGUAUAUUCAUUUUGUACUUGUUUUCUUUUAAUUAGCAAACUCUGUUAUAUGGAUAAAACAGUGGUAUCUUUUGAAGAAGAUCUAAGAGACUGUUGCCAUAUAAGUUCUUUGUUGAAGCUUUUCCAUUGGUUAUCUUGAUUACAGGAUGUGAUAAGGUUAUAUCCUUGGAAGGUUGCUGUCUGUACUCUAUAUUGGCUAAUGAUCGCAAUCACUAUUUGCCUGUGUUCUUUGAACAUGUCAAAGAGUAAAUUAUCGUCGAUAUAACUUUCAAGUAUGAAGUUGACAAUUUGAAAAAAGGACACCAACUUUUAAGUCAUCAAAAAAGACAGAAAUUGUGAGAAGAAUUUUCCUGAUGCUUGUAUUUGCACAGAAAAUGACAGCUUUGACUUGUAGAUUAACUGGUUUCACAUUUUUAUGAGCAGUUGUUAUUUUAGUUGAUAUCCUUUUUAUGAAAUAAAGAGAUACCAAUUUUAAUCAGUUGCAAGAAAAUAUGUUUGUGAAUAGAUCAUAUUGGUUUUGUCAUGUAUUCUUUUCUAACAAAGUUGGGAGGUGACCUUUUCAUGUUUUCAUUACUCACAAGUUUGAAUGACCUUGCCUGUUUCAUACCAUUGCCAUUCAGUUUUGUCUAUACUAAUGUUAUUUCUGAGUGUGGUUUUAUAAAUGUUCAUUGAUAAGGUUUCUUUGGUUACCAUCCAAGGAUGUAUUUUAUUGAAGCUGUUUCUGGAAUUUUUUGUUUGUUUGAUACUGUUUGGAAAUAAAAUGGUGUUAUUUAGAUGUAUUUUAAAUACUUUAUUUUAACUUUUUUCAUGUGUUUUUAAUUUUGCAGCGUUUUAAGUAAAUACCAGUAAAACUGAAGUUGUGUGUUUAAUUUGUGUACAUAUCUCCAUAAAGCAUUUAGAUUUUUCAAGUCUUAUUCUGGUUUUCAAUAUAACACAUUCAAUUAUUCUAUCAGUAGUUUGUUCAAUAGAUGAAUUUAAACUGCAUUUCUAUUUGUGUGCACUUAUUUUUGUUAAAAAUAUACCUACUACAAAUUUCAUGACAAUACAUUACCAAAGAAGUACAUGAAGAGAAGUCUUCGUAUUACAUUAGUUACAUUGGUGCCUGGAUGGCUGAGUGGCUUAUGUAGUUUAUAGUGAUCACUUAUAAGUCCCCUACAGGCUACUGACGAAGUCAAAGGGGACUUUAGAUUUGCACCCUAUCCGACUGUCCAUCCGUCAGUCCGGCAAAUCUGUUUUUAACUGAUAGGGGACUAUGUAUUGCCAUGCAAUACUGACAGAAUGCUUGAUAAGCCUGUCUUAGGAUCAGAUGGAGCACAAGGUCAACUCUGACUAGGAUUGACAGUUUUGUCUGUGGUUCUGUUAAGAUUUUUCCGCUUUCUCCAAUAAAAACUUAACGCCAUGAUUUAACCAAGUGUGUUGAAAAUGGGAUUAAACACAUUCCUUCAAUCAAAUAUUGUUUAUGAGAGGAGAAUUUCUUUCAGAUUGUCUGUUUGUUAUGUUCACUGACAUUUUCAACAAAUUAAGUAAUAUAAUACAACAAAUAUUUUCUUACAAAUUCUUAGGUCUUAACAUUGUGAACUUUUAAACUUAGUCUAUUACUUUCAUAAUUCUCUUAGAAUUUAUAUAAAACAAAAUAUCUUAGAAUACUUUAACUGACAUGGUUUGAGACUUGGACACAUGUUGGAUGGAGAGUAGCAUUGGCACUCAUACCACAUCUUCCUAUAUCUUUAUAAAGUAAAUAUAUGAUUAAGUAAUUAUGCAAUGUGUAAGUCUUGAAUGAGAAUGAUAAUAAAUCUUGUUUAAAGGUAAAUCUUGAUUGGUAGCGCUGUUAUUAUUUUUUUUAGAAAAUCAAACCCAUCUUAUCUUAUUCUAUUUUUUUAUUAUUGAAAGAAUGGGUCACCAUUUUGAUUGUCUUUCUUGGAACACAUUGUUUAUCUUCCAGUUGUAAUGAGAUUUCCCAUAGUGUCCAUCCCAAUAUAAAUAUCAAUAGAUGUUUUCAUUUCUUGAGCUUUAAAAAGGUGCUAAUCCCAAAAAAUUAAGCUUUUUUUUUACUGCGUCUUAAAGAACUAAAGAGCAAUGUCCUUGGCUAUUAAGGAUUUUUUGUUUUCCUGAUGAUAAUGAAAGUACCUUUUCACAAUAUUUAUUAAGUUCUGAAGUUAUGGUUUACUUAAGCCAAGCUAUAUUGAUGCUUCAGGAUAAAAAGACAAGUACCACUGUUUUAAAUUCUAACAGAAAUAAUGACAGCAACACAACAACACAAAAAAAAAACAAAGAUAUUUAGAGGUCAAUAGUUGACCGGUGUCUUGAUAUAUAUUAAAUUCUUAAUCAUGCCAAGUCUGGGAAUAGUAUUAUAAACAAGUGUCUAGAUUUAUAAUAUCAAUGUAGAUACAAGCUAGGCUGUGAUAGUAUUAGUUUUGUUCUAUUUAUUGUACCAAGUAUUUGGUAUUUCUUAUUUGUUUAUUUAUUUUUUAUACUAGAAAUGGAUGGGAAUCUAUAUUUAUCUUGUAAAACUAAUAGUUUUUUGUUUCAAUAAAUACAGAAUCAACUUUAUAUAGCAUUUAUCAUUAAAUUUUCAUUUAAUAUAUUUUUGUCUUUUUCAAAAUAAUAAAAAAAAAACACUG